rnacentral:misc_RNA from 1 species
UCUCCGUUGGUGAACCAGCGGAGGGAUCAUUACAGGACUCGCAAGACUCCUUCACCCUGUGAACCUCACUACAAGCACGUUGCUUCGGCGGGUGUCCCGGCGGGGGUUUUCCCUCGCCGGGGCGCACAGCCCGCCGGCAGCCUACUAUACUCUGUCUCUUUGCGUUGGCAUCUCGAGAAAAGACAAACAAGUUAAAACUUUCAACAACGGAUCUCUUGGUUCUG